AGUGAACGCUGGCGGUAGGCCUAACACAUGCAAGUCGAACGGCAGCACAGUAAGAGCUUGCUCUUACGGGUGGCGAGUGGCGGACGGGUGAGGAAUACAUCGGAAUCUACUUUUUCGUGGGGGAUAACGUAGGGAAACUUACGCUAAUACCGCAUACGACCUACGGGUGAAAGCAGGGGAUCUUCGGACCUUGCGCGAUUGAAUGAGCCGAUGUCGGAUUAGCUAGUUGGCGGGGUAAAGGCCCACCAAGGCGACGAUCCGUAGCUGGUCUGAGAGGAUGAUCAGCCACACUGGAACUGAGACACGGUCCAGACUCCUACGGGAGGCAGCAGUGUGGAAUAUUGGACAAUGGGCGCAAGCCUGAUCCAGCCAUACCGAGUGGGUGAAGAAGGCCUUCGGGUUGUAAAGCCCUUUUGUGGGGAAAGAAAAGCAGCAGGUUAAUACCCCGCUGUUCUGACGGUACCCAAAGAAUAAGCACCGGCUAACUUCGUG
rnacentral:rRNA from 1 species